AAGGGGCCUGCAACUCUAAACUUUGUAGUAUUUCUCGCUCAAGUAUACCAGUAGUAUUUCUAGUAUUUUUGAGUUUUGCAUAGUAUGCCAUGCGUCCAUAGCAACAUCAGUACAAAACAAACAACUGUUGUUGGAGUCGUAGGUGCCGCUGUCAGUUAGGCUGCAUGAGCUUAUAUUCUAGACAUGAAUUCAAAGGAAAUCCCGGAUGAAAUUACAAGCAAAUGCCAAGCCGCAUCAUUUCAGCCAAAACUCAAACUGCAGGAAAGGCCGCGCUAUGAGCUCUUUUCCGUAGCUGAUUGAUGACCUCACGAAAAAACCUCACCAAGGAUCUCACCCAGACCUCACGGCCUUUUCAACGGUAGUUGACUGGUGGAAGGUAGCAAAAGCGUCGGCAAACGAUAAACGUUGGAUGGGUACUACGCGGAAAGUCGGUCCUGGAAUAGGAAACUGCGAUCUCUUCAACAAAAUCUACAUUCACUGAAGAGCAGUAGCUGCCUGUAAACAUCGCAUCGACUGAAUGGUGCUAUUUUCAGACGUAACAGGCAGCUGCGCUGGUUAGAGGCAAGGCUAGUUAAGGGUCUCACCCAAGAGGACGUAAUCAAUCUUGCGUAAUGUAUUUAGUUUACCACUGUUUCAGAGAGACUACAAUAUUCAUCAAUAAACUGUUUAACUGCCUAGAUGCUUGUUUUCUUUUAGAGUUUGUAAUAGAAUAUGAAAAAUUUGAUCUAAGUUUCUAAAAAUAAAAAAAGUUAUAAAUAAAAGCGACAUAUUCGUUACCAACCCCAGUCUGAUAUAAUAAAUGAUGCCCUUAUGUGAUAUUUACAACCACGUGCUGUUAACCUUCCUAUAUUAGCCCACGGCUGGUUCAUCUACAAAACAUUGAUUUCACUCGAACUUUUGCCCUGAUUUUGUCCCGCGAUUGAUAGCAGCACUUCAGUCUAUCAGCAUUAGGUAAAUAGAGUUUUAAGCAGUAGUCAAUAUUCCAAUGAAUUAAUGAAUGUGUAUGUUUGAAAUAGUUGAAUUUAAUACAAAUAGCCUCCAAAUGUACCUCCGUAUCUUU